rnacentral:rRNA from 1 species
UGUACCUACUAACCUACGACGGGUACGGGUUGUGAGAGCAAGAACCCGGAGAUGGAUUCUGAGACACUAAUCCAGGCCCUACGGGGUGCAGCAGGCGCGAAAACUUUACAAUGCUGGGAACAGCGAUAAGGGAACCUCGAGUGCCAGGUUACAAAUCUGGCUGUCGUGAUGCCUAAAAAGCAUUAUAUAGCAAGGGCCGGGCAAGACCGGUGCCAGCCGCCGCGGUAACACCGGCGGCUCGAGUGGUAACCGUUAUUAUUGGGUCUAAAGGGUCUGUAGCCGGCCGGAUAAGUCUCUUGGGAAAUCUGGCAGCUCAACUGUCAGGCUUUCAGGGGAUACUGUCUGGCUCGAGGCCGGGAGAGGUGAGAGGUACUUCAGGGGUAGGGGUGAAAUCUUGUAAUCCUUGAA